AAGAAAGUGACAGAAAGGCCAUGUACCUGAUUUGAAAUUAGGCUAAGGGGGUUCGAUUCCUUCCUUUCUCG
rnacentral:tRNA from 1 species